rnacentral:rRNA from 1 species
UGGGUGGCGGACGGGUGAGUAACGCGUAAAGAACUUGCCUCACAGCUAGGGACAACAUUUGGAAACGAAUGCUAAUACCUAAUAUUAUGAUAAUAGGGCAUCCUAUAAUUAUGAAAGCUAUAAGCGCUGUGAGAGAGCUUUGCGUCCCAUUAGCUAGUUGGAGAGGUAACGGCUCACCAAGGCGAUGAUGGGUAGCCGGCCUGAGAGGGUGAUCGGCCACAAGGGGACUGAGACACGGCCCUUACUCCUACGGGAGGCAGCAGUGGGGAAUAUUGGACAAUGGACCGAGAGUCUGAUCCAGCAAUUCUGUGUGCACGAUGAAGUUUUUCGGAAUGUAAAGUGCUUUCAGUUGGGAAGAAAAAAAUGACGGUACCAACAGAAGAAGUGACGGCUAAAUACGUGCCAGCAGCCGCGGUAAUACGUAUGUCACGAGCGUUAUCCGGAUUUAUUGGGCGUAAAGCGCGUCUAGGUGGUUAUGUAAGUCUGAUGUGAAAAUGCAGGGCUCAACUCUGUAUUGCGUUGGAAACUGUAUAACUAGAGUACUGGAGAGGUAAGCGGAACUACAAGUGUAGAGGUGAAAUUCGUAGAUAUUUGUAGGAAUGCCGAUGGGGAAGCCAGCUUACUGGACAGAUACUGACGCUGAAGCGCGAAAGCGUGGGUAGCAAACAGGAUUAGAUACCCUGGUAGUCCACGCCGUAAACGAUGAUUACUAGGUGUUGGGGGUCGA